CAAAACUCUAAAAAACGUACUCAGUUCAGAUUGCAGGCUGCAACUCGCCUGCAUGAAGUCGGAAUUGCUAGUAAUCGUAGGUCAGCAUACUACGGUGAAUACGUUCCCGGGCCUUGUACACACCGCCCGUCAAACCAUGAGAGUUGGCAACACCCGAAGUCGGUAGUCUAACCGCAAGGAGGACGCCGCCGAAGGUGGGGUUGAUGAUUAGGGUUAAGUCGUAACAAGGUAUC
rnacentral:rRNA from 1 species